rnacentral:lncRNA from 1 species
AUACUCCCCUAUAUCAUUUCACCAUCUUUUAUUCUUCUCUUUACAUAACCACCAAAAAUCUCAUUUUCUUUCCAUUACAACAUACACUUUCUCUCCCAAUACAAGAAAAACAUCAAACAAACUUCUUUCAUCUUUAAAAAAAUACUUCAUCCCUCUGUUAAAACUACAUAGUUUCCACUUUUCUUCUUUCAUAAAAUCUC